AUGAGAAGAUCACUGUGUUGCUGGACAAAGUGGCUGAGGACAUGGGCCAGUUCGACGCCACUAAGGGGAAGCAGGCUCUGGAGAUCCGCAGCAGCCUAUCAGAGCUCAGGGCUCUUGACUGACCCUAUUGUGCCUGAUGACAGCUCUGACAUGGACCUGGCUCACAACCGUCAGUGGGCCAAGGCUCACAGUCAGUGGGGAUUUCAGCAUUUAAAUCUUGGAGGGGCAAACCAUUUUUUGGGGGUGGGGGAUGCAUGCCAGCAAAGCCACUACACAAAAUAGCACAACACAACACAACACUAAACAAUACAUUAAUGGUGCACACAAACUGUUAGGGCCUACAUCCCAACAGCAGUCCCAACACCUUACCACUGCUACACCUGGCUGUCAGCAGAGCCUUGUCUGGCAGCAAAACAGUUAAUUCAGCUUAAUUUACUGGAUUUUCAAAAAACAUGGCUGAUAUGGCUGAUUUGCUUAAACAACAUGUGGUUUCUACUGACAAUUGAGAUGUACAAACUGUGGCAUAAGGGGACGACAAGCGGAUAAAGGGCAAUCCGUAUUUUCGAUUAAGACAUUAAUGAGCGAGCUAGGACGAACGUAGUUAAUAUAACUAUUUGUUGAGCACUUUUGAAAUGGACAGUGACAGAAUUCAUAACAUGGGCCAUUCUUACAGUGUUCUCCCUGUACACCAAGUCAGAAGGAUAAAUAAAGGUGGCAUAUAAGCAGACAAUGAAAUCUCUUACAAUAUUGUCACGUUCUGACCUUUAUUUCCUUUGUUUUGUCAUUAUUUAGUAUGGUCAGGGCGUGAGUUGGGGUGGGCAGUCUAUGUUUGUUUUUCUAUGAUUUGGGGAUUUCUAUGUUUCGGCCUAGUAUGGUUCUCAAUCAGAGGCAGGUGUCAUUAGUUGUCUCUGAUUGAGAAUCAUACUUAGGUAGCCUGGGUUUCACUGUGUGUUUGUGGGUGUUUGUUUCCGUGUCUGUGUUUUUCACCACGCGGUACUGUUUUGGGUUUCGUUCAUUCCACGUUUAUUGUUUUUGUAUUCAGUUGUUCAUGUGUACUAUUUCUUAUUAAAAGAACCAUGGACACUUACCACGCCGCAUAUUAGUCCUCCGAUCCUUUUCGCCUCUCCUCUUCGGAAGAAGAGGAGGAAAUCCCUCACAAAUAUUCAAUGAUUACAUUUCUCUAAAACAGGUUAUAGGCUACAUGUGCACCACCAAGUCAGAACAGUAGGAAAAUUAAGAGGGGAAAAUAGACCAAAUUAUUAUGGUGAAGCACAUGGGCUACUAACAUCUUACUACACAACAUACACUUAGUAUUACUUUCUUAGCUACAAUAUACAUAUUUCCCUGGCAUAUUACAUCAUUUAUGCAGCAGCAUACAAUACAUUUUUGGACUCACCUUGUUGUGCUGUGCUCACUUGAACAGGAAGGUUGUGCGGCAGUCCUCCGUGGGCAAAUUUUGUCAUCAAACAUUCUCUGGAUUUAUGGUGCUUUUUUUAUGGUGCUUUUUCCUGAGUUCCCAGUUGUCUUGAACUCACUGAAGUCAGAUUUCCCAGUUCCGAGUUUGCCAGUAGAUUGUCGACUUGAUUCAUGAGGAUGACUGCUAGCUAAGAUUUUGAAAGUAUAAUGUUGACAUGAUCAGUACAAUCAAAGCCACUGUAGAUAUAACGUAGUUUGACGUCAUUUUAGCCUUGAGCCUUCUUGGAUGGGCACUUCUAAUGUAACUCUAUGGCGGCACCCAAGGAGCUUGAAUUUUUUAGCUCUACCCUUAGAUUUGGCGGAGACGUAGUGUCCCCAUGAGUGACAGAAACCUGAGCCAAUCACGGUGCAACUAGAGAACAUUACCAACCCCUACGCUUUGUAUUUUCCACUGGCAGCCCCACCACUACAGAAAGCACUGAGCUAGGCUGAAGCACCUGCAUUUUGGAGCUGUCUUACUCAAGAAAGCAAAAAAUAGACCAUAACUGUGUUCGAAUACCCAUACUAACAUACUGUAUACUACAUACUUAAUGAGUAUAUACUACAUACUAUUAGUUCAUUUUAGUAUACUGUAAACUAACAGUAUUGUUACAGUUUUAUUGUACUAGCACUUCGCCUGCAGAGUUCUCAGACGUUUU
rnacentral:lncRNA from 13 species